rnacentral:snoRNA from 1 species
CAUAUUAUGAUGACUAUUACCGCCCCAGUCUGACAUUAUCAUGUUGAUUGGUCUAAUUCUGAAUAUG